rnacentral:rRNA from 1 species
CAGUGCGAUCAUUCCAAUGAUAAAGCACCGGAUCCCAUCAAAACUCUACAGUUAGGUGCUCUUGGGCUAGAGUAGUAUUGGGAUGGGUGACCUCCCGGGAAUUCCUAGUGUUGCACCCU